AUACGGAGGGUGCAAGCGUUAAUCGGAAUUACUGGGCGUAAAGAGCACGUAGGCGGUUUGCCAAGUCGGGUGUGAAAUACUUCAGCUUAACUGAAGAAUUGCACUUGAAACUGGUAGGCUAGAGUACAGGAGAGGGAAGCGGAAUUCCUAGUGUAGCGGUGAAAUGCGCAGAUAUUAGGAAGAACACCGGUGGCGAAGGCGGCUUCCUGGACUGUUACUGACGCUGAGGUGCGAAAGCUAGGGGAGCGAACAGGAUUAGAAACCCCGGUAGUCC
rnacentral:rRNA from 1 species